rnacentral:rRNA from 1 species
GACGAACGCUGGCGGCGUGCUUAACACAUGCAAGUCGAACGGUGACGCUGGAGCUUGCUCCAGCUGAUCAGUGGCGAACGGGUGAGUAACACGUGAGCAACCUGCCCUUGACUCUGGGAUAACCCCGGGAAACCGGAGCUAAUACCGGAUACGAACCGCACAGGCAUCUGCGCGGUUGGAAAGUUUUUCGGUCAAGGAUGGGCUCGCGGCCUCUCAGCUUGUUGGUGGGGUAACGGCCCACCAAGGCGACGACGGGUAGCCGGCCUGAGAGGGCGACCGGCCACACUGGGACUGAGACACGGCCCAGACUCCUACGGGAGGCAGCAGUGGGGAAUAUUGCACAAUGGGCGAAAGCCUGAUGCAGCGACGCCGCGUGAGGGAUGAAGGCCUUCGGGUUGUAAACCUCUUUCAGCAGGGAAGAAGCGAAAGUGACGGUACCUGCAGAAGAAGCACCGGCUAACUACGUGCCAGCCGCCGCGGUAAAAC